rnacentral:rRNA from 1 species
UACGAAGGGGCUAGCGUUGCUCGGAAUUACUGGGCGUAAAGCGCACGUAGGCGGCUUCUAAGUCGGGGUGAAUCCUGGAGCUCAACUCCAGAACUGCCUUCGAUACUGGAGAGCUUGAGUCCGGGAGAGGUGAGUGGAACUGCGAGUGUAGAGGUGAAAUUCGUAGAUAUUCGCAAGAACACCAGUGGCGAAGGCGGCUCACUGGCCCGGAACUGACGCUGAGGUGCGAAAGCGUGGGAGCAAACAGG